rnacentral:misc_RNA from 1 species
GAUGAAGAACGCAGCGAAAUGCGAUAAGUAGUGUGAAUUGCAGAAUUCAGUGAAUCAUCGAAUCUUUGAACGCACAUUGCGGCCAUAGGUAUUCCUUUGGCCAUGCCUGUUCGAGCGUCAUUUACACCCUCAAGCCUAGCUUGGUGUUGGGCGCCUGUCCCGCCGUUUUCGCGCGCGGACUCGCCUCAAAGUCAUUGGCGGCGGUCGUGCCGGCCCCCUCGCUCAGCACAUUUGCGCUUCUCGGAGGCCCGGCGGAUCCGCGCUCCAGCAAGACCUUUCACGACUUGACCUCGGAUCAGGUAGGGAUACCCGCUGAACUUAAGCAUAUCAAUAAGCGGAGGA